AAGUUUCAUCAGAUCAUCUAAACUUUCAAAGCACUGAAGAUUGAGCAGCGAUUGGUGUUGGUGCUAAACCGAUUGGAAGAUAUGGAGUUGUAGUCUGGCGGAGAUUGGUGUUUUGAUGGAUAAACCGAUUGAGCAGCUCUGAAGUAAGAACAAAGCAUCAGGGAGACGGACAAUCGUUGUAAGUUCUUGAAUUGAUAUCAUUAUUCGUUUUGGGUUCGGAGACGAAACAACGCCGUGGCUGGAUGCCGGAAUAUGAAGAGUGGUUGGCGGACUAGGCCCACAGCGACACCGUCGCUUGAUCUCCGGCCAUCUAUGGACUCGGCCACCAUUGGAGCGAGCAGCCCUUCACCGCGAUCAGAGCCGCCGCCGUGGCUCCACCCUAGCUCCGCCGCUCUCAGCCUCUGUACUGAACUGGAUUAUCAGCUGUUUUGGUAUCUGUGAGGUGUGGAGUACUGUGUCUUCGUCGAUUUUGGGGCAUAUGCAUGAGAUUUGGGGAUCUACAACAACAAGUUUUGGAGAGGAAGAGAGCUGCUGAUUUGGUCAUGCAGGGAAUUAAUCAAGGUGUUGAAAUGGUUGUUGUGGGGAAUGGCAGUAAAGAGGAAUUGAAGUUUGGGUUGGAACAGAAUUGAUUUCCCUUGCAAAAUGCAUCUCAUACAUGUCCAGGACUUCAGACCAAAAUGACAUGUCCAGGACUUGUGAAGAUCAGGUUGGAGCUUCUGGCUACCACAUUUUUGAGUUCGAAAAUUGAGGCAGAUUCAUUUGAAUACCAUGAUUCGUAUCGGAGGGGUUGUGACCCGACGCACUGGAGUGUUUCCCCAGUUGCAACAAGUAAAGAGAGUGGGUCAACGAUUGCUUCUCAGGCAGAUUAUCAAGACUUUGGGAGGGUUCAGUUAGAGGUUUACGAUGCUGCUUCAUUUGGAUGGGUAUACUGGACACUGAAAGAUUGAAGAAUGAGACCUCACUGGGAUUGUGAAUGGAACAUUAGAAACAGUUAUUGUCAAUUAAGUAAUUGUCUGACUUGUCUGUUCUUUGUCAGUAAUUGAACCAAGGGAUGAUAGGGAGGAUAAGAGUAAGAUGAACAUAUACAUGUGCAAAAUGUGUGCUACAUUAGAGUUGGUGAUGCCGGAAUGAUUUACUGUUCGGUAAUGUAAAGGAGAUAGUGUAUGAUUUGCUAUGGAUAUUGACAUUUAGAGUUUCAUUCAGGAACAAAUCCAAACAAACGCACAACCGGCACAAGCCCAAUAGCAAC